GACGUAGGGCGCGAGCGUUGUCCGGAUUUAUUGGGCGUAAAGAGCUCGUAGGCGGCUUGUCGCGUCGACUGUGAAAUCCCGCGGCUCAACUGCGGGUCUGCAGUCGAUACGGGCAGGCUAGAGUUCGGUAGGGGAGACUGGAAUUCCUGGUGUAGCGGUGAAAUGCGCAGAUAUCAGGAGGAACACCGGUGGCGAAGGCGGGUCUCUGGGCCGAUACUGGCGCUGAGGAGCGAAAGCGUGGGGAGCGAACAGG
rnacentral:rRNA from 1 species